rnacentral:rRNA from 1 species
UACGAAGGGGGCUAGCGUUGCUCGGAAUCACUGGGCGUAAAGCGCACGUAGGCGGCUUUCUAAGUCAGGGGUGAAAUCCUGGAGCUCAACCUCCAGAACUGCCUUUGAUACUGGAGAGCUUGAGUCCGGAAGAGGUGAGUGGAACUCCGAGUGUAGAGGUGAAAUUCGUAGAUAUUCGGAAGAACACCAGUGGCGAAGGCGGCUCACUGGUCCGGUACUGGACGCUGAUGUGCGAAAGCGUGGGGAGCAAACGGGG